AUGAUUCACAGCAAAAGCGGCAAGCUAAGCAGCCUGCCAUACCUGCCUUCAGAUGUGGUAAACCUAGUAGCAAAGUAUCGCAGGGAAAGUCAACUAUCAGACAUGGAUGACACAAUUGCAUACUUCAUGUAGAAGAAGAAAGACGAUCCCGAUUUCUUCUACAGAAUAAAACUGCAUGAUGAGGAACGCAUUGUGAACAUGUACUGGAUAGAUGGUGCAGCACACAGGGCUUACAAGCACUUUCGUGACUGUGUGUCCUUUGAUGCGACAUAUCUAACUAACAUGUACAAGAUGCCAUGCUAUCCAUUCAUUGGCAUAAACAACCACAACCAGUCACUGCAGUUUGGAUGCGGUUUUGUUCGCAACGAGGAUACGAGCAGCUAUGUUUGGCUAUUCAAAACAUUUCUGUAA
rnacentral:rRNA from 1 species